CCGGUUCCACCACGUCGAGUUCUGGUGCACCGACGCCACCAACGCCGCCCUCCGAUUCUCCUGGGGACUCGGCAUGCCCAUGGUAGCUAAGUCCGACCUCUCCACCGGCAAUCAAACCCAUGCCUCCUACCUUCUCCGCUCCGGCGACCUCAAUUUCCUCUUCACCGCCCCGUACUCCCCCACCCUGACCCGAACCGCCGACCCGGCCCGGCCCAGCAACUCCAGCGCCUCCAUCCCCACCUUCGACCACACCGCCUCCCGCGCCUUCUCUGCCACCCACGGCCUCGGCGUCCGCGCCGUCGCCAUCCAAGUCGAAGACGCCGUCUCCGCCUUCACC
rnacentral:lncRNA from 1 species